rnacentral:rRNA from 1 species
GCUUCACAAUAAAGAGUAUUUUAAAACUCAUCAGAUCUCGGAAGCAAAGCAGGGUCGGGCCUGGUUAGUACAUGGAUGGGAGACUGCCUGGGAAUAUGCGGUGCUGUAGGCU